GAUGAAGAACGCAGCGAAAUGCGAUAAGUAGUGUGAAUUGCAGAAUUCAGUGAAUCAUCGAAUCUUUGAACGCACAUUGCGCCCCUUGGUAUCCCGAGGGGCAUGCCUGUUCGAGCGUCAUUUCACCACUCAAGCCUGGCUUGGUGUUGGGGAUCGGCGAGCCUCCGCGCCCGCCGUCCCCUAAAUCUAGUGGCGGUCUCGCUGUAGCUUCCUCUGCGUAGUAGCACACCUCGCACUGGGAAACAGCGCGGCCACGCCGUUAAACCCCCAACUUCUGAACGUUUGACCUCGGAUCAGGUAGGAAUACCCGCUGAACUUAAGCAUAUCAAUAAGCGGAGGA
rnacentral:misc_RNA from 1 species